GCGGCCAUAGCUCAGUGGGAGAGCACCUGCUUGACGCGCAGGGGGUCAGAGGUUCAAAUCCUCUUGGCCGCACCA
rnacentral:tRNA from 1 species